GUGUCCGGCAGGGGCAGCCCGGCCUCUCCUCCCAGAGCCCCCACAACCACCACUCCUGACCACUUAAAGUCUGCCCACAAUAUAAAGCUCAAUAAACAACUUGCAUUAUUUGUGAGAAACAGCACUUUGGUUUCAGGUUGAGAUUGUGCCCAGAUUGUCAUCUUAGGGCAUGAAGAUGGUUGCCAUCUCCUGUUUGUGGCUCAGGGAAAGAGAUGGAUUUACUGAAACAGACACCUGCUGUGGAAGUUAUUUAGCUCAUGUAAUUCCUAUUCUUCUCUUGAAUCCAUAACAGAGGCAUCAUUAACUGCAAGGCGUCUUCUGGUCACUUCCCUCUGCUGUAGUGCUACUCAGAAGUUGUCCCAACACUGAUUGAUUCAGGAGUUCAAGAACCAGAUUUGUCACUCACAGAAGAGUAAUUACUUUUCAAAGAAAAGCUCUUUAAGGAGAAAAACCUUUUUGCUUGAAAACAGCUUAAAGGACAAGAUGGAACAGGUCUCUCAGUUUCCAAAUGGAACCAGGUCUGAAGGACAGCCAUGCUGGCCAUUCAAUAAUGAAGUUAGCCAGACAUGGCAACUUCAAAAGAUAAGAGAAUCCUGCUAGAUUUUUUGUGGAAGAUCUAUGUAAUCAGAUGAAACAGAAAAGUAAGGGAAAAAAAUCCCAGAUCUUAGAACUUGGUACCAAGAGUAUCAGGGAACUCUUUGGCAUUUUAAUUCACAUUCUAGAGUAGUGGGAUUUUCUGCAGCUGCAUAUAAAGCAGAUCUGAGGACUAAGAGG